rnacentral:rRNA from 1 species
CCUACGGGAGGCAGCAGUGGGGAAUUUUGGACAAUGGGCGCAAGCCUGAUCCAGCCAUGCCGCGUGUGGGAAGAAGGCCUUCGGGUUGUAAGCCACUUUUGUCAGGGAAGAAACGGUCUGAACUAAUACUUUGGACUAAUGACGGUACCUGAAGAAUAAGCACCGGCUAACUACGUGCCAGCAGCCGCGGUAAUACGUAGGGUGCAAGCGUUAAUCGGAAUUACUGGGCGUAAAGCGUGCGCAGGCGGCUUUGCAAGACAGAUGUGAAAUCCCCGGGCUCAACCUGGGAACUGCAUUUGUGACUGCAUGGCUAGAGUACGGUAGAGGGGGAUGGAAUUCCGCGUGUAGCAGUGAAAUGCGUAGAUAUGCGGAGGAACACCGAUGGCGAAGGCAAUCCCCUGGACCUGUACUGACGCUCAUGCACGAAAGCGUGGGGAGCAAACAGGAUUAGAUACCCUGGUAGUCCACGCCCUAAACGAUGUCAACUGGUUGUUGGGAGGGUUUCUUCUCAGUACGAAGCUAACGCGUGAAGUUGACCGCCUGGGGAGGUAACGGUCGCGAGUUAGUAACGUUACGAAGAAGUUAGNGGNGNGAGAGNGCGACGGACGACGACGAGGGAGGAGG